UGGGGAAUCUUGGACAAUGGGGGCAACCCUGAUCCAGCCAUGCCGCGUGGGUGAAGAAGGCCUUAGGGUUGUAAAGCCCUUUCAGCGGGGAAGAUGAUGACGGUACCCGCAGAAGAAGCCCCGGCUAACUCCGUGCCAGCAGCCGCGGUAAGACGGAGGGGGCUAGCGUUGUUCGGAAUUACUGGGCGUAAAGGGCGCGUAGGCGGACCGCCAAGUCAGGGGUGAAAGGCCAGGGCUCAACCUUGGAAGUGCCCUUGAAACUGAUGGUCUUGAGUCCGGGAGAGGAGAGCGGAAUUCCCAGUGUAGAGGUGAAAUUCGUAGAUAUUGGGAAGAACACCGGUGGCGAAGGCGGCUCUCUGGACCGGCACUGACGCUGAGGCGCGAAAGCGUGGGGAGCAAACA
rnacentral:rRNA from 1 species